UUCUCUUGUGUCUCUCUUCUUCUUCUCUUUCUUUUCCCUUUGAUCAAUUGGAUGGCUUGUGUACAUAUUGUUCAUGAUGUAUGGAUUGGUAUUUGAUGAAUUUUCAUCAUUUCAAAUCUACCUCCUAAUUGAUCAUGGAUCAUUUAAGAUACUUUGGAUUGAUGCAUGAGUUUAUCCUAAGUGUCAUGAAGUGUGGGUUGAAGU
rnacentral:lncRNA from 1 species